rnacentral:misc_RNA from 1 species
GAUGAAGAACGCAGUGAAAUGCGAUAAGUAGUGUGAAUUGCAGAAUUCAGUGAAUCAUCGAAUCUUUGAACGCACAUUGCGCCCUUUGGUAUUCCUUAGGGCAUGCCUGUUCGAGCGUCAUUUAAACCUUCAAGCUAAGCUUGGUGUUGGGUGACUGUCCGCUUCACGGCGGACUCGCGUCAAAAUUAUUGGCGGCCGGUACAUUGGCUUCGAGCGCAGCAGAAACGCGAACUCGGGCCCGUCGUAUUGGCUCCCAGAAGCUAUCUUCACAAUUUUGACCUCGGAUCAGGUAGGGAUACCCGCUGAACUUAAGCAUAUCAAUAAGCGGAGGA